UACCAGACUCCUACGGGAGGCAGCAGUGGGGAAUAUUGCACAAUGGGGGAAACCCUGAUGCAGCGACGCCGCGUGAGCGAUGAAGUAUUUCGGUAUGUAAAGCUCUCUCAGCAGGGAAGAAAAUGACGGUACCUGACUAAGAAGCCCCGGCUAACUACGUGCCAGCAGCCGCGGUAAUACGUAGGGGGCAAGCGUUAUCCGGAUUUACUGGGUGUAAAGGGGGCGCAGACGGCGAUGCAAGCCAGGAGUGAAAGCCCGGGGCCCAACCCCGGGACUGCUCUUGGAACUGCGUGGCUGGAGUGCAGGAGGGGCAGGCGGAAUUCCUGGUGUAGCGGUGAAAUGCGUAGAUAUCAGGAGGAACACCGGUGGCGAAGGCGGCCUGCUGGACUGCAACUGACGUUGAGGCCCGAAAGCGUGGGGAGCAAACAGGAUUAGAUACCCCCGUAC
rnacentral:rRNA from 1 species